UACAGAGGUCCCAAGCGUUGUUCGGAUUUACUGGGCGUAAAGGGUGCGUAGGUGGCGGGGUAAGUCUGGUGUGAAAGCUCCGAGCUCAACUCGGAAAAGCAUUGGAAACUAUCCCGCUGGAGGGUCGGAGGGGAGACUGGAAUUCUCGGUGUAGCAGUGAAAUGCGUAGAUAUCGAGAGGAACACCAGUGGCGAAGGCGAGUCUCUGGACGACUCCUGACACUGAAGCACGAAAGCUAGGGGAGCAAACAGG
rnacentral:rRNA from 1 species